UAUACGGAAAAUCUACAUAGCAAUGAGAUCAUUCCCCUUGAGCAAUGACAUAACAUCAAUAGUUUUUACAGUUGACACAUGCAAGGAUUCUGUGCCGGAAAGAUCCAGUGGAAGCAGAUUGUCAGCGGAUUCUUUCUAACUUCUAAACGAAAUGAGUAAUGAGAUAGCGAUUUCAAGUAUGGCCAUAGUAGAAAUAAGUGUCCCUUAGAAAUUAUAGCAAAGGCGAUAGUACAAAACUAGAGUAUUCUGCAGGAAGAGAACAAGAUAUUAGUUGGAAUAUGAAGUUGAGCAAGAAGGCAGCGUUGUUGAAAAUCGGUGAAGUGAUGGCGGCGACUUUUCGGAUGCAGCCAGUGGAAGUAACGUUCGGGAGCCAAGAAAGAGAGACGACGGCGGGCGGCAAGCAGCUGGAGGAUGGACCUACGAACAGAUAAACAGAUGGAUGGAUAGACGACGGACGAGUGGACCAACAUACGUUAGAACGGUAUCAAGUAUUACAAUGAUAUCCUGUUCGUGAGGAGCACUCAAGGGUGAAAACGACUACGUCAAAGGUAGAGAAAUAGACGCGGCAUGGCUAACGUCAGUGCAGACGCUUUCAGUGAAUAUAAUAGCUCAUGGAGGAACAAAUACCAAGAUUAGCCAACAAUGAGAGAGCAUUGAAGUCAAUGUUGAUACUAUACUAAAGCAACUAAUCUCUACAACGAAAUCGCUUUCUCUGGACUUGACUUCUUCAUUUGCUGUUGACGUCUUCGCAUUGCAACAUUAUGCAGUUAAUUUUCGAUCAAUGAAUGAGAGCAACUGGAAAAUGAACUGGACUGAAUUAGCAGAUUAUCUACAAUAGCAUAUCCUUCUGCCUGGAUUUGGUUUUCUUUCCACACCUGCAAACUUUAGAACAUCGCACUCUGGCACUUUAUUAUGGUGCAUAUUUUUUGCUUACCUCUUCCACUUUACUUACUACUCAUUCUUCCUAUUUUUCUCAACAUUUACUCUACCUUGUCUUCCACAUGAUUCAAAAUUUCUUUAUUGUGUUCAAUUUUAUUCUCAUCUUUGUGGGAGGAGGGAGGGCCGUCCCGAACAAGUCCCCUUAGCCUGUUUUUUAAUUGUUUUUUAAAAGUGUCAUACACUUUUCGCGGAUAUACUGUAGCUUAUCUGGAAUAGGAGGGAUAGACUACUGCCCAGCUUGCUCUGACGAAAUUUGUCUGAUCUUCUCCACCAAAUCUAUUAUUCUUUGCCGUUAGGCCUAGGGCGCAUUGUAAUUUUUUAAUCGCGUGAUCAUUUAGUCGCAAUAAUGUAACACAAGCUAGUAAAUGCAAAUGCGCGCAUAUGCGACUAAAUAAGCCGUGAAAUGGAUGUUUUACCAAUAUGGAUUUAAAUAAUACAUACAUUUGUUUUUUGAAAAUUUAAGCACUCAACAAGUUAAUUAAUUUCUAUAUCAUUGUUUCCCUUAUUGCACAAUAUAAGUCAAUAUAAGUAUAAAAAAAAAUACAACGUGUAAUUAUAGAACACGCUACUGAAGUGAAACUUCUUCAAACAUACCGGG